GAUGAACGCUGGCGGCGUGCCUAAUACAUGCAAGUCGAACGAACAGACGAGGAGCUUGCUCCUCUGACGUUAGCCGCGGACGGGUGAGUAACACGUGGAUAACCUACCUAUAAGACUGGGAUAACUUCGGGAAACCGGCGCUAAUCCCGGAUAAUCUCUUGCACCGCGUUGUUCAAUAGUGAAAUACGGUUUUUCUGUCACUUCUCGAUGCAUCCGCGCCGGAUUAGCUAGUUGUGAAGGUCACGGCUUAUCAAGGUAACGAUGCGUAGCCGACCUGAGAGGGUGAGCAGCCACACUGGGAGUGUGACCCGGUCCAGAGGCAUACGGGAGGCAGCAGUAGGGAAUCGGGCGGCAGGAGCGAAAACCAGACGGAGAAGCGCCGAGUGAGUGAUGAACGUCGUCGGAUCGGAGAACUCUGUUAUUAGGGAAGAACAAAUGUGUAAGUAAGUAGGCACGUGUGGACGGGAACUAGGCAGAGAGGCACGGCUAAAUAAGUG
rnacentral:rRNA from 1 species